UAGGGAAUCUUCGGCAAUGGACGGAAGUCUGACCGAGCAACGCCGCGUGAGUGAAGAAGGUUUUCGGAUCGUAAAGCUCUGUUGUAGAGAAGAACGUUGGGAGGAGGGGAAAAUCUACCAAGUGACGGGAAAUAACCAGAAAGGGACGGCUAACUACGUGCCAGCAGCCGCGGUAAUACGUAGGUCCCGAGCGUUGUCCGGAUUUAUUGGGCGUAAAGCGAGCGCAGGCGGUUCUUUAAGUCUGAAGUUAAAGGCAGUGGCUUAACCAUUGUACGCUUUGGAAACUGGAGGACUUGAGUGCAGAAGGGGAGAGUGGAAUUCCAUGUGUAGCGGUGAAAUGCGUAGAUAUAUGGAGGAACACCGGUGGCGAAAGCGGCUCUCUGGUCUGUAACUGACGCUGAGGCUCGAAAGCGUGGGGAGCAAACAGG
rnacentral:rRNA from 1 species